rnacentral:tRNA from 1 species
GCGGCCUUGGUGUAGUGGCAACACAACAGAUUGUGAUUCUGUCGUUGCGGGUUCAAUUCCCGCAGGCCGCC